rnacentral:sRNA from 1 species
UCUCUACCGAUGGCGAUGCAGAUUUUCC